UUUGCCUAUGGAUUAGUCAUUGACUAUUAUAUGGAAUAGUUGGAAAGUUUAACCACUAGGAUUCUAUGGAUUAGUCUAUUGACUAGACCAUAGACUAUUCUAUUAAUUAAUUUAUGGUUUAAUCUAGUGACUAGCUUAUGGGCUACUUAGUAACGGUACUUUAUAUGUCGUGGGGCUACUGCAGUAUCUUUCGUUGUCAAAAAGUUCUAAAUAGUACAAUAGCCUGAGUACAAGAGUACUUAAAAAAAGAGGACUUUUAAACCACAACAACAAACUUAUCUUAAAUACACAAAGUUUCUGAAGCAACAAUCAAAUAGUUGGCAACUCUUGUGUGUCAUUUAGUGUUUGACUAGUUUGCGGAUAUUUCGCUGCAAAUAAGAGUAGUUCACUAACGACUCUCUAGCAACUAACAACAAACAACAAUAAUAAUAACAAAAUUAAAUAAAUAAAAAAGCAACAGCUAGACCAAAUGCAACAACAAAAGCUCUCACAUUGUGUAGUAAUGAGAGAAAGAUAAAAAACAAUUGUACAUAAAAGUUAACAAAAAAAAAAAAAAAUGCAUUUUCCGCAAUUGACUUUUCAUAACAAUUCGUAAUAAAAUAAAAAUAACAACAAUUGUCUACUGUUUUAAUUAUGUUUAAAGUGAUAAAAAAUAAACUAUUUUUAACUGUGAAAAAAAUGAAGUAUAACAGUGAAUCAUAUUAAAAAUAAAACAAUUUUAAGUUUUGAAAUCUUUUGAAGACAAAAAAAAAAAUAAUAAAUAAACUUUAAUACUGCAGAAUUAUAUUUAUAGUUCAAUAAAACUAAAACGCCCCGGUAGUCGGUCAGUCAAUCUUUCAUUACGCUUGCAUUUUCUAAUCUUUAUUAUUGUUUAUGUACAAAUGUACAUCGUGUUUUAUUUAUUAAUUAAACGCGUAAUACUUAGUAUUAGACGUUAUUGUUCGUCUUGAUAACAUUUGGAAAAUUAUUAGAAAUUUUAUAUGAAUUUUCUGAAUGCAGUGCAUAAUUAAUAGUAAUUAUAUAACAAAAGUGCAUAAUUAGAAAUGUUUUUUGUUUAUUAAUCAUCAAACAAAUCAAUAAUAUAGUUCAAAUUCCAUUUUGUUUUAGGCGUAAGUGUCGGAAAAAAAAGUUAAUCAACAGUUUUUUUUUUUUUGUUAAUUCCAUAAAAAUAUGUUUUUAUACAUUUGCCAGUUAUAAAUUGAAAUAAAUUUUGAAAAUUUUUGAGAUUUUGAAAGAAAAUCUUAAAGUAUUUAAAAGUGUUAUAAAAAAAGCGAAGGUGAAAAGAACAAAAUUUAAAACACAAUGGAGUUAGAAAUGGAGAAUUCAAAAAUGUUGAAAAACACCAGUAUCGUACGCAAUAUUGAUAUAGAAUUUAAGGAUCUCACCUAUAAAGUUAAAGUGCCAAAGCAAAAAG